AAGUCGAGCGGAUGAGUGGAGCUUGCUCCAUGAUUCAGCGGCGGACGGGUGAGUAAUGCCUAGGAAUCUGCCUGGUAGUGGGGGACAACGUUUCGAAAGGAACGCUAAUACCGCAUACGUCCUACGGGAGAAAGUGGGGGAUCUUCGGACCUCACGCUAUCAGAUGAGCCUAGGUCGGAUUAGCUAGUUGGUGAGGUAAAGGCUCACCAAGGCGACGAUCCGUAACUGGUCUGAGAGGAUGAUCAGUCACACUGGAACUGAGACACGGUCCAGACUCCUACGGGAGGCAGCAGUGGGGAAUAUUGGACAAUGGGCGAAAGCCUGAUCCAGCCAUGCCGCGUGUGUGAAGAAGGUCUUCGGAUUGUAAAGCACUUUAAGUUGGGAGGAAGGGCAGUAAGUUAAUACCUUGCUGUUUUGACGUUACCAA
rnacentral:rRNA from 1 species